GAUGAACGCUAGCUACAGGCUUAACACAUGCAAGUCGAGGGGAAACGGCAUUAAGUGCUUGCACUUUUUGGACGUCGACCGGCGCACGGGUGAGUAACGCGUAUCCAACCUUCCCAUGACUAAGGGAUAACCUGCCGAAAGGCAGACUAAUACCUUAUGGUCUUCACUGACGGCAUCAGAUGUGAAGUAAAGAUUUAUCGGUUAUGGAUGGGGAUGCGUCUGAUUAGCUUGUUGGCGGGGUAACGGCCCACCAAGGCAACGAUCAGUAGGGGUUCUGAGAGGAAGGUCCCCCACAUUGGAACUGAGACACGGGCCAAACUCCUACGGGAGGCAGCAGUGAGGAAUAUUGGUCAAUGGGCGAGAGCCUGAACCAGCCAAGUAGCGUGCAGGAGGACGGCCCUAUGGGUUGUAAACUGCUUUUGUAUGGGGAUAAAGUCAAUCACGUGUGAUUGUUUGCAGGUACCAUACGAAUAAGGACCGGCUAAUUCCGUG
rnacentral:rRNA from 1 species